CGCGGCCUAUCAGCUUGUUGGUGAGGUAAUGGCUCACCAAGGCUUCGACGGGUAGCCGGCCUGAGAGGGCGACCGGCCACACUGGGACUGAGAUACGGCCCAGACUCCUACGGGAGGCAGCAGUGGGGAAUAUUGCACAAUGGGCGCAAGCCUGAUGCAGCAACGCCGCGUGCGGGAUGACGGCCUUCGGGUUGUAAACCGCUUUCAGUAGGGACGAAGCUAACGUGACGGUACCUACAGAAGAAGGACCGGCUAACUACGUGCCAGCAGCCGCGGUGAUACGUAGGGUCCGAGCGUUGUCCGGAAUUAUUGGGCAUAAAGGGCUUGUAGGCGGUCCGUCGCGUCAGGAGUGAAAACUCGGGGCUUAACCCCGAGCCUGCUUUUGAUACGGGCGGACUAGAGGGAUGCAGGGGAGAACGGAAUUCCUGGUGGAGCGGUGGAAUGCGCAGAUAUCAGGAGGAACACCGGUGGCGAAGGCGGUUCUCUGGGCAUCACCUGACGCUGAGAAGCGAAAGCGUGGGGAGCAAACAGGCUUAGAUACCCUGGUAGUCCACGCCGUAAACGGUGGGCACUAGGUGUGGGGGACAUUCCACGUUCUCCGUGCCGAAGCUAACGCAUUAAGUGCCCCGCCUGGGGAGUACGG
rnacentral:rRNA from 1 species